rnacentral:rRNA from 1 species
UACGUAGGGGGCAAGCGUUGUCCGGAUUUAUUGGGCGUAAAGAGCGUGUAGGCGGCCAGGUAGGUCUGGUGUGAAAACUCGAGGCUCAACCUCGAGAGGUCAUCGGAAACCAUCUGGCUAGAGUCCGGAAGAGGAGAGUGGAAUUCCCGGUGUAGCGGUGAAAUGCGCAGAUAUCGGGAAGAACACCUAUGGCGAAGGCGGCUGACUGGACCGGUACUGACGCUGAGGUGCGAAAGCGUGGGGAGCAAACAGG